CAGGGCGCGGCUACAGCAACUACUUCCUUCGCAACCCGUUGGUAGGGAGAAGGACGCCUCAGCCACUAGGCUGCUUCCGGUGUGUCACUGAACACCUUCCCCGUACCAGCAGCUGGAGGAUUUGUUUGGUAGCACCUGGGGGAUGGCUCUGUCCCGGGCGCACUUAGGCGGGCUGUGCGGAGCGCUUUACCUUCCACAGUGUCCGGCACACGCAUCCUUUUCGACAUCAUCACUUGACCUGCUGCAAUAGGUGACCAGUUUGAAAUUCAGCUAAACCAGCAGCUAUGGUCCCUCAUCCCCAACAACGAUGUGAGAAGGCUUGUUUCUCAUGUUAUCCGGACCUUGAAGACGGACUGCACUGAGACCCAUUUGCAACUGGCCUGUGCCAAGCUCAUCUCUAGGACAGGCCUCCUAAUGAAGCUUCUCAGUGAGCAGCAAGAAUUGAGAACUGUAUCAAUGACAGCAUGGAAGCCCAGAAUGAACAGAAAGAGCAGAAGUCGAAUGAGUCCAAUAGAUCCGCGGCAUAGUGGCACCCCCAACAGCAACAGAAUUGGGCUGUCAACGUGAAUGGAACAGACAAAAGUGUAGGACUUUGACAUGGACUGAGAUUCAAAUCUCAACCCUGCUACUGACUAGCUAUGUGAUCUUGUCUACGUUGUUUUACCUCUCAGACUUUCAGUUUCCUGAGGCUCCAAGGAAGAUGAUGGUAAUAUUUGCUUCUGAAACUGCCCCUAUAAACUUUAUAAAAUUAGGCCGGGCACGGUGGCUCACACCUGUAAUCCCAGGACUUUGGGAGGCUGAGGCGGGUGGAUCACCUGAGGUCAGGAGUUCACGACCAGCCUGACCAAUAUAGUGAAACUCUGUCUCUACUAAAAAUACAAAAAUUAGCCUGGCGUGGUGGUGUGUGCCUGUAGGCCCAGCUACUCAGGAGGCUGAGACAGGAGAAUUCCUUGAACCCGGGAGGUAGAGGUUGCAGUGAGCCAAAAUCAUGCCACUGCACCCCAGCCUGGGAGACAGAGCAAGACUCCAUCUCAAAAAAUACAUAAAAUUAAUCAGGAAAGAAGGGAGGGAGGGAGAAACAAAAACAAACCAAGCUGGCAGCAGGUUCAGCAUUCAUGAUUAACUCGGCACACUCUCCCAUCUGCUUCCUCACACUUUGGUGCCUAUUGUUCUAGAAUCACUAGACCCAGUUACAAGAUUAUAGUUCACCUUAACUGCUCUUUAAAUAGCAACUCGAACAUUAUGAAAUGUUGUUUUCACUUUGAGAUAUUCCUUCAGGUCCUGAUAUGGAAGAAACUACUGAUGUCAGCUGAAGGACCACACUGAUGCAGCUGUCCUGAAGGACUCCCCGAGGAGCUACCUCAUCAAAAAAUACAGUUUCCACUUUGCGAUGAUUUUAUCCCCCUUGCCCCAACCGACCAGCAACCCCAAUUUUCCAGCCCCUCACUCUCCACAAUCCUCUUAAAGCCCCAGGCCAGAACUUCUUGGGAGACAGAUUUGAGGGUUUCCUUCCACUUCCUUGCUGGGUGGCCUGUGAUCAUUAAACUCUUUCUUUGCUGCA
rnacentral:lncRNA from 1 species